UAAAGCUCCUGGGCUCAGACAGAUGAGCGGACCCACGUUUUUACCCCAAAGUGAGAAUCGGCAGCCCGCGUCAGGCCGGAGGAGACAGGGAACUUUCCUGAAACCAAAGGACUUUGGGCAGCUGUUUGGGAAUAUUCCUUAAAGCCCCCAUCCUAGACUGGCCAGCGGGAUACAGCUGGCUGCAGCCAUCACAGCCAGUAACUCCGGAAACGAAUGAGGGAGAAGCCCCCGUGCUGAGGUUGUGGGAUAUCGCUUUAGGGCAGCCAGGAGCGCCUGAGGAAUGUCCCGCACAUCCCAUGGGGUGGCCGUGCGGGGUGUCUGUUUCUGCUUUGUCCUCGGCUUGCCUUCUGUUCCCUCAUCAUCCACACGCAAGAGUAACCCUGGUCUUUCAGGAGGAGGAACAGCUAAAAUGUCCACUUGAAAACCUUAAGUACAUCUCACGUCUGUGGUUGUCCGAAGAGUUCCUGCUCCCAGGCCUGGGUGCUGUUAAAAGACAACGAGGCCAAAAUGGAGUCACUUACUCAGCUCCCUGUCACCAAACCAAGACUAAUUGCCAUUUCGGCCUCUCCCAGCAAUGGAAUCUUAAACCCGUCCAUCAGGAGUGAGCUGGUCAGCAGCUGCGGGGUCGUCCGGCUGCUAGACCCCUGCCAUCUCGGAAAGAAGAUUCCACGCCUGGCAUGGAGCCCAACGCGGGGCUUGUACUCAACAACCCGAGCGGAGAUCGUGAGUCAGAUGCUAAACUGACUGAGCCACCGGGGCGCCCAGUUGAAUUUUGCUUUUUAAAUAGUUCCAGCUUCCCAUCAGCACCAAGCUCUCCAGAAGCAGUGUGUUCCUGAUUUAAAAUGCAUGUCUGUCCAAUAACAAACAGAUCUGGAUUUGGUAUAAGGAGAAACUUGACUCAAGUAACAACAAACUGAUCCAAGAGGUACAAGGAUGUCAAGUCAGACAGAAAGGGUCUUUUCUUUUCCACGUAAGGGGAAGUUGGACUGAUGGGGGCGUCCAGCGGGCUGCAGGACCAGCGUGGCUGGACACAAUAGGGCCUCCUGUGGUCAAUGUGUCCUCAUUCUCGGGAGAAAUGGACUGAUGUGGGAAACAAAGGCAGAAGAAAAAUUAUUAUAUUUCCUUCCUACCUACAGCCCCUUGACAAGUCCUUGAAACAGGUAGGGUGACAUUCCUCUAGGGACUCAGCUGCCUUGAUAUUAAUACUUUGGUAAGGACAAGAGGCAAUCUUAGCCUGACCCCCAGGACCCUGUACGCCUACUCUGACAUAUAAAAAUUCCUUUGGAAACUUCC